rnacentral:rRNA from 1 species
CACGGGGGGAGCAAGCGUUGUUCGGAAUCACUGGGCGUAAAGGGCGUGUAGGCGGUCAGGUAAGUGAGAUGUGAAAUGCCCCGGCUCACCCGGGGACCGGCAUCUCAUACUGCUUGGCUUGAGUACGGGAGAGGAUGUGGGAAUUCCUGGUGUAGCGGUGAAAUUCGUAGAUAUCGGGAGGAACACCGGUGGCGAAGGCGGCGACCUGGGUAGAUACUGACGCUGAGGUGCGAAAGCGUGGGGAGCAAACAGG